rnacentral:tRNA from 1 species
UCCCUGGUGGCUCAGCUGGUAAAGCAUCUACCUGCAAUGCAGGAGACCUGGGUUCGAUCCCUGGGUUGGGAA